UACGUAGGGUGCAAGCGUUAAUCGGAAUUACUGGGCGUAAAGCGUGCGCAGGCGGUUCGCUAAGACAGAUGUGAAAUCCCCGGGCUUAACCUGGGAACUGCAUUUGUGACUGGCGGGCUAGAGUAUGGCAGAGGGGGGUAGAAUUCCACGUGUAGCAGUGAAAUGCGUAGAGAUGUGGAGGAACACCAAUGGCGAAGGCAGCCUUCUGGGCCAACACUGACGCUCAUGCACGAAAGCGUGGGGAGCAAACAGG
rnacentral:rRNA from 1 species